AUGGAUACACAGGAGCUAAAAAGUAAGGAUUAAGAUUAAUACUAGAAGAAACUAUUGAUUAUGAUUGAAGCGAUUUUGAAAUACUGUUGAUUGUUUAUUAACAAAAGUGCAUUCACAUUAAUAUAGUGACAGCCUAACUAAAAUUUGAUUAACAAAUGUUUUGUUAAUCCAGAACCAGUGACAAUCAAUAUACAAAUACAAAUAAACACUAGUGUGCAAAUUAUUAAUAUUAUGGAUGGAAUUUAACACCAAUUGAUGAAUAAAAAGCUAUGUUUAAUGCGAAUAAGCAAAAAAAAAAAUCUAAAAAAAUGUAUUAAAUCAGCCUUGGCUGUUAACCGGAUGGAAAAUUUGAAGUUUAAACGAGUAAA